rnacentral:misc_RNA from 1 species
GAUGAAGAACGUAGCGAAAUGCGAUAAGUAAUGUGAAUUGCAGAAUUCCGUGAAUCAUCGAAUCUUUGAACGCACAUUGCGCCCCCUGGCAUUCCGGGGGGCAUGCCUGUCCGAGCGUCAUUUCUGCCCUCAAGCAUGGCUUGUGUGUUGGGUGUGGUCCCCCCGGGGACCUGCCCGAAAGGCAGCGGCGACGUCCGUCUGGUCCUCGAGCGUAUGGGGCUCUGUCACUCGCUCGGGAAGGACCUGCGGGGGUUGGUCACCACUAUAUUUUACCACGGUUGACCUCGGAUCAGGUAGGAGUUACCCGCUGAACUUAAGCAUAUCAAUAAGCGGAGGA